AGCGAACGCUGGCGGCAGGCUUAACACAUGCAAGUCGAGCGGGCCCUUCGGGGUCAGAGGCGGACGGGUGAGUAACGCGUGGGAACGUGCCCUCUGGUCUGGAAUAACCCUGGGAAACUAGGGCUAAUACUGGAUACGCCCUUUUGGGGAAAGGCUUGCGGCCGGAGGAUCGGCCCGCGUCUGAUGAGCUAGUUGGUGGGGUAACGGCCUACCAAGGCGACGAUCAGUAGCUGGUCUGAGAGGAUGAUCAGCCACACUGGGACUGAGACACGGCCCAGACUCCUACGGGAGGCAGCAGUGGGGAAUAUUGGACAAUGGGCGCAAGCCUGAUCCAGCCAUGCCGCGUGAGUGAUGAAGGCCUUAGGAUUGUAAAGCUCUUUUAUCCGGGACGAUAAUGACGGUACCGGAGGAAUAAGCCCCGGCUAACUUCGUGCCAGCAGCCGCCGUAA
rnacentral:rRNA from 1 species